AUAAAUAAAGACUUAAUGAGCGGUCAGUUAGUAAGUCGUCAAUCCCCAAUUCAAUCAAAAUAUUGUUUUCUCUCUCUCUCUCUCCAUAAACAAAUAGUAUUUUUGAUGUGACGAUUACUAAUAAGACGCAUAUUUCAGUUGUCUUUGUUUGGAUAUCACAUAGACUGGUGAUGAAUCAGUCAAGGACUCGGAUUUUUAUCCGAGUCUUUU
rnacentral:sRNA from 1 species